UUCGAGCCGGGCCCCGCCCACCGCGGCCCUCAGGGGCGGUACCCGCGAGCCCCGCCCGCCGCAUCCCCCCGGCCCUCAGACCGGCUCGUCCCGUCCCCCUUCUCUCACCGCCUUCCCCCAUCCCUCACACCGGCAUCCCCGUCUCUCAGACUGCGGGCUCGUCUCCCGUCUGCCGAAUUAGCCUUGGGAGCAAUCUUUGUAACCACAGAACCCCACAGACAGCCUGGCGGGAGGAACCCCUCCGCCCCAGCGCCUCCCGCCGCUGUCACUGCUCAUCCGCACUUGGGCCCUCGAGGAAGUCACUGUAGAAAAGGGCGAGCACUGACAAAAAAUGAGAGGAAUUGGGAAAACAUUCCUGGGAAUGGGAAGUGUGUGGGAUGGUGGUGGUAACUCCGCUGGCGACUGCAGGAUCCCCAGGGAUGUGAACGCUGCAGGAAACAUCCAGCGUUACUCAGGAGCUGAUGUUUUGCCCCAUGGCAGCAGUGUUGAGUUCUUCAGUGGCAUGGGACAGUUCCUCACCUCAGGGCACAGGCUGGAGUUCACCCAAGCCAGGAGGCUGAAGGUGCAAGUUCAUCAUUACCUAAAACCAGGAGCUGGGAAACUUCUCAAAAUUCCAGCGUGGCACAUCCCCACUGGCCCUGCUGUUGCAGAGUUUGACAUUGCUGCCACCAGGAUUGACAACCUUGCUAAAUGGGUAAUUCCAUGGAUAAGAAAAGCUGUCAGUCCAAUUGCUACCCACAAACACCAUGGGAGGUGUUGGAUGUUGGGACAUCAUCACAGAACUAACCUCACCCUACUCUCAGUUUGUUGUGUCCGGUUCUUAAAGAUCCACAGAUACAAAAUUUGACAUCUUUGAAGGUUCCCAUUUUGCAAAGUUGAUGCAAUUUCAUAUAUUCUCUCUUUUUUUAAAUGACUGUUUAAGGCAUCUUUCUUUAAACAAUACCGGUUGUUUAUGAUCAAAGCUACUAUAAUAAAUCAGUAUGUGUAGAAAGGAGAGAAAUCUUU
rnacentral:lncRNA from 1 species